GGCCCGUGAUGUUUUGAUAUUGUAUUGUCCGUACCAUCCGAGAUAUUUUGGUAUCUUUGAUGAUUCAAUCACUAGCCUCUGAGGCCU